rnacentral:rRNA from 1 species
GACGAACGCUGGCGGCGUGCCUAAUACAUGCAAGUAGAACGCUGAAGGAGGAGCUUGCUCUUCUGGAUGAGUUGCGAACGGGUGAGUAACGCGUAGGUAACCUGCCUGGUAGCGGGGGAUAACUAUUGGAAACGAUAGCUAAUAUAGCAUAACAGAAGAUGAUGCAUGACAUUUGCUUAAAAGGUGCAAUUGCAUCACUACCAGAUGGACCAGCGUUGUAUUAGCUAGUUGGUGGGGUAACGGCGCACCAAGGAGACGAUACAUAGCCGACCUGAGAGGGUGAUCCGCCACCCUGGGACUGGGACACGGCCCAGACUCCUACCGGAGGCAGCCGUAGGGGAUCUUCGGCAAUGGACGGAAGUCUUACCGAGCAACGCCGCGUUAGGGAAGAAGGUUUUCGGAUCGUUAAGCUCUGUUGUAAGGGAAGAACGAGUGUGGGAGUUGACUGUUCACGCUGUGACGGUAUCUUACCAGAAAGCCACGGCUAACUACGUG